GGAUGAACGUUGGCGGCGUGCCUAAUACAUGCAAGUCGAACGGAGAUUGUAGCAAUACGGUCUCAGUGGCGAACGGGUGAGUAACGCGUUGGUGACCUGCCCCGAAGUGUGGAAUAACAGAUCGAAAGAGCUGCUAAUACCGCAUAAUAUCCAGAGGACUAGAUGCCUUUGGAUUAAAGGAUUUAUUCGCUUCGGGAGGGGCCUGCGUCCCAUCAGCUAGUUGGUAAGGUAAAGGCUUACCAAGGCUAUGACGGGUAGGGGACCUGAGAGGGUGGCCCCCCACAAUGGAACUGAAACACGGUCCAUACACCUACGGGUGGCAGCAGUAGGGAAUAUUAGAAAUGGACGAAAGUCUGAUCUAGCAACACCGCGUGUGCGAAGAAGGCCUUCGGGUCGUAAAGCACUUUUUGGAAGGAAUAGGAAGGAAUGUACUUCCAGAAUAAGUCUCGGCUAACUACGUGCCAGCAGCCGCGGUAACACGUAGGAGGCGAACGUUAUCCGGAUUUACUGGGCGUAAAGCGCGUGUAGGUGGUACUGUAAGUAGGGCGUGAAAGCUCCCGGCUCAACUGGGAGAGGCCGUUCUAAACUACAGAACUAGAGGAUGGUAGAGGGAGGUGGAAUUCCAGGUGUAGCGGUGGAAUGCGCAGAUAUCUGGAGGAACACCGGUGGCGAAGGCGGCCUCCUGGACCAUUCCUGACACUCAGACGCGAAAGCUAGGGUAGCAAACG
rnacentral:rRNA from 1 species